UAGUUGGUGAGGUAAUGGCUCACCAAGGCAAUGACGCCUAACUGGUUUGAGAGGAUGAUCAGUCACACUGGAACUGAGACACGGUCCAGACUCCUACGGGAGGCAGCAGUGGGGAAUAUUGCACAAUGGAGGAAACUCUGAUGCAGCAACGCCGCGUGGAGGAUGACACUUUUCGGAGCGUAAACUCCUUUUAUAUAGGAAGAUAAUGACGGUACUAUAUGAAUAAGCACCGGCUAACUCCGUGCCAGCAGCCGCGGUAAUACGGAGGGUGCAAGCGUUACUCGGAAUCACUGGGCGUAAAGAGCGUGUAGGCGGGUUAAUAAGUUGGAAGUGAAAUCCUAUAGCUCAACUAUAGAACUGCUUUCAAAACUGUUAACCUAGAAUAUGGGAGAGGUAGAUGGAAUUUCUGGUGUAGGGGUAAAAUCCGUAGAGAUCAGAAGGAAUACCGAUUGCGAAAGGCGAUCUACUGGAACAUUAUUGACGCUGAGACGCGAAAGCGUGGGGAGCAAACAGGAUUAGAUACCCUGGUAGUCCACGCCCUAAACGAUGUACACUAGUUGUUGCGAUGCUAGACAUUGCAGUAAUGCAGUUAACACAUUAAGUGUACCGCCUGGGGAGUACGGUCGCAAGAUUAAAACUCAAAGGAAUAGACGGGGACCCGCACAAGCGGUGGAGCAUGUGGUUUAAUUCGACGAUACGCGAAGAACCUUACCUGGACUUGACAUUUACAGAAUUUUUCAGAGAUGAAUUAGUGUCUGCUUGCAGAAACUGUAGGACAGGUGCUGCACGGCUGUCGUCAGCUCGUGUCGUGAGAUGUUGGGUUAAGUCCCGCAACGAGCGCAACCCACGUCGUUAGUUGCUAACAGUUCGGCUGAGAACUCUAACGAGACUGCCUGGGCAACCAGGAGGAAGGUGUGGACGACGUCAAGUCAUCAUGGCCCUUACGUCCAGGGCUACACACGUGCUACAAUGGGGCAUACAAAGAGCAGCGAUACCGCGAGGUGGAGCAAAUCUCAAAAAUGCCUCCCAGUUCGGAUAGUAGUCUGCAACUCGACUACUUGAAGUUGGAAUCGCUAGUAAUCGUAGAUCAGCAAUGCUACGGUGAAUACGUUCCCGGGUCUUGUACUCACCGCCCGUCACACCAUGGGAGUUGAACUCAUUCAAAGCGGGGAUGCUAAGAUAGCUACCCUCCACAGUGGAUUCAGCGACUGGGGUG
rnacentral:rRNA from 1 species